CGUGAGGCUGCUUUUCUGUGACUCGGAACCAGCGCACCCCACCGCUCACUGCAGGCGAUGAGCUGGAGAUGAUCCGGCCCAGCGUCUACCGCAACGUGGCGCGUCAGCUGCACAUCUCCCUGCAGUCUGAGCCUGUGGUGACCGAUGCGUUCCUGGCCGUGGCUGGCCACAUCUUCUCUGCAG
rnacentral:sRNA from 1 species